rnacentral:rRNA from 1 species
CCUACGGGAGGCUGCAGUAGGGAAUAUUGCUCAAUGGGGGAAACCCUGAAGCAGCAACGCCGCGUGGAGGAUGAAGGUUUUCGGAUUGUAAACUCCUUUUGUUAGAGAAGAUAAUGACGGUAUCUAACGAAUAAGCACCGGCUAACUCCGUGCCAGCAGCCGCGGUAAUACGGAGGGUGCAAGCGUUACUCGGAAUCACUGGGCGUAAAGCGCGCGUAGGCGGGAUAGCAAGUCAGAUGUGAAAGCCUAUGGCUUAACCAUAGAACUGCAUUUGAAACUGUUAUUCUAGAGUAUGGGAGAGGUAGGUGGAAUUCUUGGUGUAGGGGUAAAAUCCGUAGAGAUCAAGAGGAAUACUCAUUGCGAAGGCGACCUGCUAGAACAUAACUGACGCUGAUGCGCGAAAGCGUGGGGAGCAAACAGGAUUAGAUACCCUAGUAGUC